rnacentral:misc_RNA from 1 species
UCCGGUUUGGCACCGGCAGUCUCCAAUGAGUCCCCGGCAUUACCCGCUGGCAACAUUGGACAAGGGUUGCGCUCGUUGCGGGACUUAACCCAACAUCUCACGACACGAGCUGACGACAGCCAUGCAGCACCUGUGUUCGAGUUCCCGAAGGCACCAAUCCAUCUCUGGAAAGUUCUCGACAUGUCAAGGCCAGGUAAGGUUCUUCGCGUUGCGUCGAAUUAAACCACAUACUCCACCGCUUGUGCGGGCCCCCGUCAAUUCCUUUGAGUUUCAGUCUUGCGACCGUACUCCCCAGGCGGCGAACUUAACGCGUUAGCUACGGCACCGCGGGGGUCAAAACCCGCGACACCUAGCACCCAUCGUUUACGGCGUGGACUAC